rnacentral:tRNA from 1 species
GGGGCUAUAGCUCAGAUGGAAGAGCGCCUGCUUUGCACGCAGGAGGUCGGCGGUUCGAUCCCGCCUGGCUCCA